rnacentral:rRNA from 1 species
AUUGAACGCUGGCGGCAGGCCUAACACAUGCAAGUCGAGCGGAGCGGCGGACGGGUGAGUAAUGCCUAGGAAUCUGUCUGGUAGUGGGGGAUAACGUCCGGAAACGGGCGCUAAUACCGCAUACUAUCAGAUGAGCCUAGGUCGGAUUAGCUAGUUGGUGGGGUCACGGCCUACCAAGUCGACGAUCCGUAACUGGUCUGCGAGGAUGAUCAGUAAAACUGGAACUGAGACACGGUCCAGACUCCGACGGGAUGCAGCAGUGGGGAAUAUUGGACAAUGGGCGAAAGCCAGAUCAAGCCAUGCCGCUUGUGUGAAGAAGGUCUUCGGAUUGUAAAGCACUUUAAGUUGGGAGGCGUUACCAACAGAAUAAGCACCGGCUAACUUCGUGCCAGCGGCCGCGGGAAUAC